ACCUGGGUUCAAUCCGCAGUUAACGGCGUUUGACGGUUUUCAUGGCGCUGCACCCAUGAAUCCUCUGUUCGCAGCUAGGUCUAAGGUUCUACGGCCACUUGACAUUUCGCCACCGGUCGGAGCUCAGCCUACACUGUUUCAAAAACGGGCUGCGUUACGACAAAGUUCGCUCAAAUUAGGGGAAUUGGGAGGUACAAAUUGGGGGAAGAGAGCAGAGAGUAAUAGCGGUGCAGUGGAAAUCGAUAAGAAGAGGAAGAGGAGCUUAGCGGAGGAGGACGAGCUUGACGAAACAGCUACCAUGGAUAUAUCGGGAUUUAAUUACGAUUCCGAUGAAAUCGAACCCACCAGUGAACAUCCAAAUGGAAACGGAAACGGAAGCAAUUCGAAUGCAAUGAGCUCUGUUACGAUCGGCGCCGGGGAUCAGAAAGGGAAGAAGAAGGGUCUACCUGCUAAAAAUUUAAUGGCGGAGAGACGUCGGAGGAAGAAGCUCAACGACAGACUUUACAUGCUUAGGUCCGUCGUCCCCAAAAUCAGCAAGGUACUGGUUAACUUUCAUGUAAAAUAUCUAUUCUUUUCUUGUUAUUAUAACAUUUGAAUUGUGUUUCAGAUGGAUAGAGCUUCAAUUCUUGGUGACGCCAUUGAUUACCUGAAGGAGCUUCUACAAAGAAUCAACGAUCUUCAUAACGAACUAGAGGCAACACCACAAGGGUCUUUAAUUCAAAAUUCACCAAGCUUCCAUCCAUUGACACCCACC
rnacentral:lncRNA from 1 species